GAUGAAGAACGUAGCGAAAUGCGAUACUUGGUGUGAAUUGCAGAAUCCCGUGAACCAUCGAGUCUUUGAACGCAAGUUGCGCCCGAAGCCAUCAGGUUGAGGGCACGUCUGCCUGGGCGUCACAUAUCGUUGCCCAAUGCCGAUUGCAGUGCAAUAGGAAUUUCUAGGGCGAAUGAUGGCUUCCCGUGAGCGUUGUUGCCUCGCGGUUGGUUGAAAAUCGAGUCCUUGGUAGGGUGUGCCAUGGUAGAUGGUGGUCGAGUUAGAACGAUACCGAUCAUGUGCAUGCUCCCCAAAAUAUGGCCUCUAUGACCCACACGCGUCUUUUGACGCUCAUGACGAGACCUCAGGUCAGGCGGGGCUACCCGCUGAAUUUAAGCAUAUCAAUAAGCGGAGGA
rnacentral:misc_RNA from 1 species